UACGAAGGGGGCUAGCGUUGCUCGGAAUGACUGGGCGUAAAGGGCGCGUAGGCGGAUGGCACAGUCAGAUGUGAAAUUCCCGGGCUUAACCUGGGGGCUGCAUUUGAUACGUGUUGUCUUGAGUUCGGAAGAGGGUCGUGGAAUUCCCAGUGUAGAGGUGAAAUUCGUAGAUAUUGGGAAGAACACCGGUGGCGAAGGCGGCGACCUGGUCCGACACUGACGCUGAGGCACGAAAGCCAGGGGAGCAAACGGG
rnacentral:rRNA from 1 species